GAGGGUGCCGCUAAUGCAUUCCGGGAGGCGCUGCAGCUGGACCCUAAGAGUGAAGAGAUUAGGGAAGCGCUGAGGAAGGCCGAGAAGUCUGCGGAGGAGUAAUAUAAGCAACCAUCGAUACUGGCCCACUCAGAGAAAAGGAACAAUGGAAAACUCUGCCUUGUUUCCUCUCACAUCUCUCUCAGAUAUCCCUUUAACGGCUACUAAGUACUACUAAUUGUUAGGACUGCUCAUGUGUUAGGAUUUCUUGCGCUCACAGGUUAAACCAGUUUCAAACUGUAUGCUCGAUCAUGGGUCUCCAUUUUGACACAGGUUACGGCGGCAUCUUAGCUAUGUAAGGGAUGUGUUGCAGAUGUAGGUGGAUAUUAUGCUAUCCUGACUCCUGAGAAUCGCUAAACAUUUCACUGCAUUUUGCGUGUGACAA